GACGAACGCUGGCGGCGUGCUUAACACAUGCAAGUCGAACGAUGAAGCCCAGCUUGCUGGGUGGAAGAGUGGCGAACGGGUGAGUAACACGUGAGUAACCUGCCCUGAACUCUGGGAUAAGCACUGGAAACGGUGUCUAAUACUGGAUACGACCUAUCACCGCAUGGUGUGUGGGUGGAAAGAUUUAUCGGUUCGGGAUGGACUUGCGGCCUAUCAGCUAGAUGGUGAGGUAAUGGCUCACCAUGGCGACGACGGGUAGCCGGCCUGAGAGGGUGACCGGCCACACUGGGACUGAGACACGGCCCAGACUCCUACGGGAGGCAGCAGUGGGGAAUAUUGCACAAUGGGCGCAAGCCUGAUGCAGCAACGCCGCGUGAGGGAUGACGGCCUUCGGGUUGUAAACCUCUUUUAGUAGGGAAGAAGCGAAAGUGACGGUACCUGCAGAAAAAGCACCGGCUAACUACGUG
rnacentral:rRNA from 1 species